rnacentral:rRNA from 1 species
UACCAGCACCCCGAGUGGUCGGGACGAUUAUUGGGCCUAAAGCAUCCGUAGCCGGUCUUACAAGUCCCCCGUUAAAUCCAACUGCUUAACAGAUGGGCCGCGGAGGAUACUAUAAGACUAGGAGGCAGGAGAGGCAAGCGGUAGCUCAGUGGGUAGGGGUAAAAUCCGUUGAUCCAUUGAAGACCACCAGUGGCGAAGGCGGCUUGCCAGAAUGCGCUCGACGGUGAGGAUGAAAGCUGGGGGAG